rnacentral:miRNA from 1 species
CCGGUUCCAGUCCCUGGAG